AUGCGAUAAGUAAUGUGAAUUGCAGAAUUCAGUGAAUCAUCGAAUCUUUGAACGCACCUUGCGCCCUUUGGCCAUUCCGAAGGGCAUGCCUGUUUGAGUAUCAUGAACACCUCAACUCUCAUGGUUUUUCCAUGAUGGGCUUGGACAUUGGGGGUCUUGCCGGCCUGUGGUCGGCUCCUCUCAAAGGAAUCAGCUUGCCAGUGUUUGGUGGCAUCGUGGGUGUGAUAACCAUCUACGCUUGCGAUUUUCCACCAGAUGUCCUUCAGCAAUGGAGGCUCACUGGAGCUCACAAAUGUCUCUCCCCAGUGAGGACAGCUCUUUGAAUGUUUGAUCUCAAAUCAGGUAGGGCUACCCGCUGAACUUAA
rnacentral:rRNA from 1 species